GGGGUAUAGCGCAGUUGGCUAGCGCGUCUGACUGGCAGUCAGAAGGUCAGGGGUUCAAGUCCCCUUAUCUCC
rnacentral:tRNA from 1 species